rnacentral:rRNA from 1 species
AAAUUGAAGAGUUUGAUCAUGGCUCAGAUUGAACGCUGGCGGCAGGCCUAACACAUGCAAGUCGAACGGUAACAGAAAGAAGCUUGCUUCUUUGCUGACGAGUGGCGGACGGGUGAGUAAUGUCUGGGAAACUGCCUGAUGGAGGGGGAUAACUACUGGAAACGGUAGCUAAUACCGCAUAACGUCGCAAGACCAAAGAGGGGGACCUUCGGGCCUCUUGCCAUCGGAUGUGCCCAGAUGGGAUUAGCUUGUUGGUGGGGUAACGGCUCACCAAGGCGACGAUCCCUAGCUGGUCUGAGAGGAUGACCAGCCACACUGGAACUGAGACACGGUCCAGACUCCUACGGGAGGCAGCAGUGGGGAAUAUUGCACAAUGGGCGCAAGCCUGAUGCAGCCAUGCCGCGUGUAUGAAGAAGGC